GUUUAAUUUUAGAUAAUUAAAUAGGUUUUUAACUAGUUUUUUCAUAAAAUUAUUUUGAAAAUAGCUUGCAGCUGUACAAAGAAAUUUAAAAAAUAAAAUACAAGAUCUCUGAAUGUGAAUAAUAUCUACUUUCAGCUAAAGCAACUUUAGUUUUUUUGUUUACAAUUUUUAAACUUUUUGAAAAAUAUUUUUGAGCGUAGAAAUUUUUUAAUUUAAAUUUAUUCAGCAAGAUAAACCUUUUAUCUAUUUUGUAUUUUUUGCUUAUAUGAGGAUUCAAUUUUUUUUGCAGGGUUAAAAGAAAAUCUUAAUCAUUAAACUUGUGUAACCUGUUGCUAUGUAUUCCAACCAUAUUCGCGUUUCAACAAAGAAACUUACCUGUUGUAAAGAAGGGAAAAGUAAACUAAAGCAGAAAGACUUUUUCUUGGAACUCGAUAUAAAUAUUUUUUGUGUUUCGUGUUUAAAUUUUUUUUUUUAAUGUUUUCAGCUUGAGAUUGUUAAAAUCAAUAUGAAUAUAUUUAAAAUAUUUUUUACUUAAAGAUUAAAAGAAUGAAAAAUGUUUUUAAUGCAUAAAAGAUAUUUAUAUUUUCAUUUGAAUUAUAUUUUGAUAUUUUAUUUUGUGUUGAUUGAUAUUUAUUUGAUGCAUAAAAUAAAUUUAUAUUUUUUAAAUUAUA